UUACACGGGAUGCUUGUGCCCUCCUGGGGCU
rnacentral:piRNA from 1 species